GAAUUCGCCCUUAGAGUUUGAUCCUGGCUCAGGAUGAACGCUAGCGGCAGGCCUAAUACAUGCAAGUCGAACGAUAUUUUCCAGCUUGCUGGAAGAGAAAGUGGCGCACGGGUGCGUAACGCGUAUGCAACCUACCUUCAUCAGGGGGAUAGCCCGGAGAAAUCCGGAUUAAUACCGCAUAAAAUCACAGGAUGGCAUUAUCCAAUGAUCAAACAUUUAUGGGAUGGAGAUGGGCAUGCGUGUCAUUAGCUAGUUGGCGGGGUAACGGCCCACCAAGGCGACGAUGACUAGGGGAUCUGAGAGGAUGGCCCCCCACACUGGUACUGAGACACGGACCAGACUCCUACGGGAGGCAGCAGUAAGGAAUAUUGGUCAAUGGAGGCAACUCUGAACCAGCCAUGCCGCGUGCAGGAAGACUGCCCUAUGGGUUGUAAACUGCUUUUAUCCGGGAAUAAACCUCAUUACGUGUAAUGAGCUGAAUGUACCGGAAGAAUAAGGAUCGGCUAACUCCGUGCCAGCAGCCGCGGUAAUACGGAGGAUCCAAGCGUUAUCCGGAUUUAUUGGGUUUAAAGGGUGCGUAGGCGGCCUGUUAAGUCAGGGGUGAAAGACGGUAGCUCAACUAUCGCAGUGCCCUUGAUACUGAUGGGCUUGAAUGGACUAGAGGUAGGCGGAAUGAGACAAGUAGCGGUGAAAUGCAUAGAUAUGUCUCAGAACACCGAUUGCGAAGGCAGCUUACUAUGGUCUUAUUGACGCUGAGGCACGAAAGCGUGGGGAUCAAACAGGAUUAGAUACCCUGGUAGUCCACGCCCUAAACGAUGAACACUCGCUGUUGGCGAUACACAGUCAGCGGCUAAGCGAAAGCGUUAAGUGUUCCACCUGGGGAGUACGCCCGCAAGGGUGAAACUCAAAGGAAUUGACGGGGGCAAGGGCGAAUUC
rnacentral:rRNA from 1 species